rnacentral:lncRNA from 1 species
UGGUGGAGUGCUUGUUAAAGUUGAAAAGGGACGUAAACGAACAGAAAAUCCUCUAUCAUUUUUAUUUUCAUAUUUUUAGAUGAAAACGGAAGUGGAAGCCGGACAACCAGGAGCGAAAACGGUAACGGGAUAAACAGUAAUACGAAAACGGCGGGUAAAAUCGAAAAAUAGACGGAAACGAGCUGUAAGCGAAAACUUAAACCGGAACAUGUAAGCCGCGUAUGAUAGCGCAAAUACAGAGACCAAAAUGCAAUACCAAAUAUCAAAUAUGCACUGACUAGUGACUAGCGACUACAUUAAUACAAUACCACAUAUCCAUAGUCCAUAGAUCAUAAUUCACACAAAUAUUUAUCCAUACAUCGCAUAAGAACAUAUCCAUAGUACAUAAAUCACAAUUCACACAAAUAUGAAUUAUCCAUACAUCGCAUAACACAAGAGACAUUUUGGGCCAUAUUGGGCUUAAGGACUAUGUUGGGUUACUUUCUCGUUUUAUGAAAAACGGGAUAUCCCGGUAAAAAAACGGGAUUCCGCAAAUACGGACGGACAAACGCUCUACUCUUUUCGAUCCCGCUCCCGUUUUAAUCCGUCCCGUUUUCGGUCCCAUUUCCUUUUAUCCCAGAAAAAAAUGAAAACGAACAGAAAAAUACAGUAUACGGUUGCGGACGGAAUGAGAUUUAUCCCAUCCGUUUUCAACUGUAGUGGUUGUGCUUUGCUGCUUGUAGAUGUUGCUCAUGCUUCUUUCUUCUUUCUUCUUUCUUUCUUUCUUCUUCUUCUUCUUCUUCUUCUUUUUUUAUAACAAGGGACAUACUUUGUUGUCUCAUGUUAUACUCCUUCUAUACCUAUAAAAUAAGUUGUUUUGGACAAGGUUUGGGUCAAACAUUGGGAAUAUAAAUCAUGAAUAACUUUUAAGUUGUUGAGUUUAAAAAUAUGAAAACUAUAUGAAUAGAUUUGUCUUAAAAAUACUUUCAUAAAAUAUAUCUAUACCAUUUUUUGAUAAAUAUUUUUUAUAAAAAAAAGAACUCAAAGUUAAACUUUGGAGACCGUAUCAUUGUCCAAAACGACUUGUUUUAUGGAUAUGGAGGGAGUAGGGAGUGCCUAUUACAUGCUCGCAGCGAGGAUCAUUGGUGCUGUUAAGUGUUCGAUCUGGACUUGUCCUGUAAACAAUUUUUUUUGGCCGUGUUUCUCGUAAGACUGCUCUAACAUACUGUAAUAUCAUAUUUCCUAUUCUUUUAUUGAAAAAAAAAACUCACACCAAGUGAAUAAUUGUAAGUGUAGGAAUCUCCAAACCACCGGUACUAGUCCUACCUUCUCGCACUGCUCCCUUCAUUCUAAAAUAAGUAUUAUUUCCAUUUUUCAAAGAGUCAAACUUUUUAAUUUUUGACUAUAUAUAUAAUUAAUAUCUGUGAUUCACAAUUAAUAUUAUUUAGAGAUUUAAAUGUUUUAAAUACUUUUUAGCAACUUAGUCAAAUUUAACCAACACGAAUAUCAUAGUGACACUUGUUAAAUCCAAACCGUUACCAACCAUUAGA